UGGGGAAUUUUGGACAAUGGGCGCAAGCCUGAUCCAGCCAUGCCGCGUGCGGGAAGAAGGCCUUCGGGUUGUAAACCGCUUUUGUCAGGGAAGAAAUCUUCUGAGUUAAUACCUCGGGAGGAUGACGGUACCUGAAGAAUAAGCACCGGCUAACUACGUGCCAGCAGCCGCGGUAAUACGUAGGGUGCAAGCGUUAAUCGGAAUUACUGGGCGUAAAGCGUGCGCAGGCGGUUUUGUAAGACAGAGGUGAAAUCCCCGGGCUCAACCUGGGAACUGCCUUUGUGACUGCAAGGCUUGAGUGCGGCAGAGGGGGAUGGAAUUCCGCGUGUAGCAGUGAAAUGCGUAGAUAUGCGGAGGAACACCGAUGGCGAAGGCAAUCCCCUGGGCCUGCACUGACGCUCAUGCACGAAAGCGUGGGGAGCAAACAGGAUUAGAUACCCUGGUAGUCCACGCCCUAAACGAUGUCAACUGGUUGUUGGGAAGGUUCCUUCUCAGUAACGUAGCUAACGCGUGAAGUUGACCGCCUGGGGAGUACGGCCGCAAGGUUGAAACUUAAAGGAAUUGACGGGGGU
rnacentral:rRNA from 1 species